UACGGGAGGAACUAGUGUUACUCGUCUUGAUUGGGCGUAAAGGGUGUGUAGGUGGUUUAAAAUGUUGCAAAAAGAAAAAACAAAAAAUAAACAUGUAACUUUUACAAUACUCUUUAACUAGAGUAUAUCUGAAGAUAAGGGAACUUUUAAAAGAGCGAUAAAAUGCUAAGAAAUUAAAGGGAAUAUUAAAGGCGGAAGCAAUUAUCUACAAUUAAUACUGACACUGAGACACGAAGGCAUGGGUAUCAAACAGG
rnacentral:rRNA from 1 species